rnacentral:rRNA from 1 species
UACGUAGGCCCCAAGCGUUAUCCGGAAUUACUGGGCGUAAAGAGUUCGUAGGCGGCGCGGAAAGUCAGAUGUGAAAGACCGGGGCUCAACCCCGUGUUAGCAUCCGAAACUUCCGUGCUAGAAUGAGGGAGAGGUAAGCGGAAUGGUAUGAGUAGGGGUGCAAUCCGUUGAUACAUACCAGAACACCAAAAGCGAAGGCAGCUUACUGGAACUCUAUUGACGCUGAGGAACGAAAGCGUGGGGAGCGAAAAGG